CGAGACGUCCAGUCCGUCAGUUUUUGGGGCCUUUUGUGGAGGGAAACUGACUGUCAUGUCUUUUGUUUCACGUUUGACAGUUUGUUAAUAUUUUCUUAAUGACUUCCAGUAUAGCCAUUUAGGCUAAAACGCUUACAUCCCAUUACUUGUAGCAGCUUUCCUUGAAUAAUGCUCCAGUUUUUGUAUGGUACUUUGGGAAGAGAUAUUGCUCUCGAAAACCCUAACAUGGGUUUAUGGAUUGAUGGUUUAAUUUUUUUUUCAGCAUUCCCUUUAAAUUAUGGCCAAUAUUGCUGUUGUAGUAGUAUAAGAAGCAUUUUACUCCAGAAUCGCAGUGGGCUCUCUCCUCCUAAGCAAAUGUAGAUCCGGUUUGUUUUGGCAAUUGGAACCUUCUGGCUCCCUAACCACAGUCAAGAUCACGGACGAGCACAAUGCCGGUUUAUUUUUUGCCACCAAACAUUCAUUAUCCUUGCCUGUUCAAGUUCCCGCGGGAAUACCCGACUUUCCUUCUAGGAUUGUCCAGCUUGGUUGCGUUUGCCUUGUACAUCUAUAUCAUGGGCAUUAUUGGGUUCUGUAUUGGCAUUUCAGUGGUCAAAGAUGUUGCAGUAGAUUCCUUUGCCCUGAUCGUUGCUAAAGAGGAUGGGCAGGAAUUAGAACAUGAAGAUGAGAAAGAGGAGACAUCCAUCGAGCAACCAUCUCUUGUCAUGCUUUAUUGAUCAAGCAACUCUCAAGGCUGUAGGCAGUCAAAGAAGAAUUGGUGAAGAAAUUUGAGAAAGAUUAAUCGGAUGGGUUGAUGGUACCUUCCUCUUCAAGGAGUUUUGGAGUUAAAUACUGAUGGUUUUUCUAGGGGAAUCUUGGUCAUGUUGGUAUUGGUGGUGUAGGGCGCGAUAGCUCUGGUGUUGUCCAAUUUAUCUUUUCAAUUUGUAAAAGAUUUAAUAUGAAUAAUUACAUGGAGGCUCUUGCGAUUUUGUAUACCAUGAAAAGAGGUUGUGCUCUUGACUGGAAAAGGAUUAUUUGUGAAUCUGAUUCACAAAUGGUGGUGACUCUGCUGAGUGGGCAGCGGUUUGAUGAUGUCAAUUGGCACUUAGCCUUUGUUAUUAGAUAGAUUCUAAGGUUGUGCAAUUCUUUGGAAUCUGUUACUUUUACUCACAUUCCUAGGGAGUGGAAUAGCGUAGCAGUCUGGCCGACAAAAUGGACUUCUGAUCAAAUGCAAGGUUGGAAUAUCAUGGAUAGGGGACAAUUAUCUUUGGAAUUGUCUCAUAUGUUGGAGCAGCUAGUUGAUGAAAAUAAAGUUUUUUAAUGUUUUGUUCU